AUAGGUUUAUAAGUAAGGAAGGAAUACAUCCCUAUUGAUAUGAGGGUUUUUGGGAAACCAAAAGCAAAACCACGAGAGCUUAUACUCAAAGUGGACAAUAUCAUGCCACUGUGGAGGUCCCUGAUUCAUAACAAUAUCAUGUCAAUAGAAUACUCAAGUGUCGAACAAAGAAGUGUACUUUGUUCGAGGACUCAAGAAAAAGAGUCAGGAGACUGUUCAAGGGCUCCAUAGGUCUCAGGGAACCUCUAUGGUGUACUUUGUU